GCCUUGCCAGCCCGCUACAGAAACUACGAAAGGAAUUGACGGGACCCCGCACAAGCGGUGGAUCAUGUUGUUUAAUUCGAUGAUACGCGAAGAACCUUACCAGGUCUUGACAUCCCCCGCGAUGCUUUAGAGAUAAAGCGGAGGUAUUCGGGGAGACAGGUGGUGCAUGGUUGUCGUCAGCUCGUGUCGUGAGAUGUUGGGUUAAGUCCCGCAACGAGCGCAACCCCUAUUGCUAGUUACCAUCAUUAAGUUGGGGACUCUAGCGAGACUGCCAGUGAUAAACUGGAGGAAGGUGGGGAUGACGUCAAAUCAUCAUGCCCCUUAUGACCUGGGCUACAAACGUGAUACAAUGGCUGGAACAAAGGGAUGCGAAGCAGUGAUGUGGAGCGAAACCCAUAAAAACAGUCUCAGUUCGGAUUGAAGUCUGCAACUCGACUUCAUGAAGUCGGAAUCGCUAGUAAUCGCGGAUCAGAACGCCGCGGUGAAUACGUUCUCGGGGUUU
rnacentral:rRNA from 1 species